AUUGAACGCUGGCGGCAUGCCUAACACAUGCAAGUCGCACGCGAAAGGGGGCAACCCCGAGUAGAGUGGCGGACGGGUGCGUAAUACGUAGGAAUCUACCUGAUAGUGGGGGACAACCCGGCGAAAGCCGGGCUAAUACCGCAUACGACCUAUGGGUGAAAGCCGGGGACCGCAAGGCCUGGCGCUAUUAGAUGAGCCUGCGUCGGAUUAGCUAGUUGGUGAGGUAAAGGCUACCAAGGCGACGAUCCGUAGCUGGUCUGAGAGGACGACCAGCCACACUGGGACUGAGACACGGCCCAGACUCCUACGGGAGGCAGCAGUGGGGAAUAUUGGACAAUGGGGCAACCCUGAUCCAGCAAUGCCGCGUGUGUGAAGAAGGCC
rnacentral:rRNA from 1 species